AGAGUUUGAUCAUGGCUCGAGGACGAACGCUGGCGGCGUGCUUAACACAUGCAAGUCGAACGGGCACUUCGGUGCUAGUGGCGAACGGGUGAGUAAAACGCAGGUAAUCUGCCGCAAAGUUGGGGACAACGUUCCGAAAGGGGCGCUAAUACCGAAUGUUGUGUAAUGUCCGCAUGGGCAAUACACUAAAGAUUUAUCGCUUUGCGAGGAGCCUGCGUCCGAUUAGGUAGUUGGUGAGAUAAAAGCUCACCAAGCCGACGAUCGGUAGCCGGUCUGAGAGGAUGAACGGCCACAAUGGAACUGAGACACGGUCCAUACUCCUACGGGAGGCAGCAGGUGGGGAAUAUUCCACAAGUCGGGGGAAACCCUGAUGGAGCGACGCCGCGUGAGUGAAGAAGGGCUUCGGCUACGUAAAGCUCUUUUGUCGUUGACGAAUGACUUAUUGGAUAAGUAGAGACGGUAGACGGCGAAUAAGCCACGGCUAACUACGUGCCAGCCGCAGC
rnacentral:rRNA from 1 species